AUUGAACGCUGGCGGCAUGCCUUACACAUGCAAGUCGAACGGCAGCACGGGAGCAAUCCUGGUGGCGAGUGGCGAACGGGUGAGUAAUAUAUCGGAACGUGCCCAGUCGUGGGGGAUAACGUAGCGAAAGCUACGCUAAUACCGCAUACGAUCUAUGGAUGAAAGCGGGGGAUCGCAAGACCUCGCGCGGUUGGAGCGGCCGAUAUCAGAUUAGGUAGUUGGUGAGGUAAAGGCUCACCAAGCCGACGAUCUGUAGCUGGUCUGAGAGGACGACCAGCCACCCUGGGACUGAGACACGGCCCAGACUCCUACGGGAGGCAGCAGUGGGUAAUUUUGGACAAUGGGCGCAAGCCUGAUCCAGCAAUGCCGCGUGCAGGAUGAAGGCCUUCGGGUUGUAAACUGCUUUUGUACGGAACGAAACGGUGAGCUCUAAUACAGUUUGCUAAUGACGGUACCGUAAGAAUAAGCACCGGCUAACUACGUGCCAGCCGCCGCCGUAA
rnacentral:rRNA from 1 species